GCCAAACAAACGUUAGAAUCGAAAUACGACACUGAGUUGUCCUUGUCCGUCUUAUUUUGAAAUGGAACCGGAAGUUUUAAUGCUUGCCUGCCUGCUUCCCGCCCGUGGAAUUUUAUUUCCUAGGAUACUUGGUACAUUGCGCCCAUUACACUUAAUUGGAUUUUGGUUAAGGGUAGGGAGGGAGUUUUGGUUAGUGGCGCCGUUACCUGUCUUCGCAGCUAAAUGGUGCAGUUGUGUCGCAAUGGCCUUAAACAGCUUUGCAAGCUUCAUAACAGAGAGAAGAUCUGCUGGGAUGACAUGCAGCGACAUCGCCAAUGCGCUUACCGUACAGUUUGGAGCUUCACAGGGCUUUUCUGCACGUAAUGUGCAAAGGUGGUGUGCGGAGCGAGGCCUAAAUUCAUCCAACUCAUGUUCUGACGAGCGGCUGGAGCUUGAGGUGGCAAAGGCGAUUGAAGAGACUGGAUCAUCAUUUGGCCGCAAAAUGAUGACUGGCCACCUGUCAUCAAGAAACAUCAAGGCUUGUGAGGGCAGGGUGGGGAAGACGUUAAGAUCCAUGCAUGGACCCUACCACCAAGCACGUCAACAGGAAAAGGAAUCCCAAAUGAAUUAGCUUCGGGAGGGUGUGCUGCCAAAGUCCCCCAAGAGGAGCUACCAGAUGCAAAUGCUGCAGCUGACCGGUAUCGCGAGGAAACUGGAUCGGAGCUGAGGAGAGAGUCCAUUUUUGGAACUGAUCCAUUUCCCUCUGAAGAGGCCAGAGUGCAGUGUGAAACUGACUUUUCAAAUGUAAAUUUAUUGGAUGUAUUUGAAAAUGCAGUUAAUCAUAACUCUGAUCCAUUUAAAAAUGCUGUAAAAUCACUUAUUGAGACAACAAGGAGAUUUUGUUAACCUGGAUGAGGCGUUUACAUUUUGAUUUUAUUCAGUUUCAGAACAAUUAAUAGCUUGGUUAUUUUAUGUGCACCCGCAAAGCAAAACAAAAAAGUUCCUGAUACAGAACAGAACUGUCCCAGCAGUCCCACAAAUGCUGCUGUUUAUGCUGUUGUGCUAAUGCUAACACUGAGUUUGUAAUAAAACCGCACAUCCAACCAGAAA